GCGAGGGUUGCCGAGCCAGGUCAAAGGCGAUAGGUUCAGGGCCUAUUCUCGAAGGGGUUCGCCGGUUCGAAUCCGGCCUCUCGCA
rnacentral:tRNA from 1 species